CAGUCGCCGCGGUAAUACGGAGGGUGCAAGCGUUAAUCGGAAUUACUGGGCGUAAAGCGCACGCAGGCGGUCUGUCAAGUCAGAUGUGAAAUCCCCGGGCUUAACCUGGGAACUGCAUUUGAAACUGGCAGGCUAGAGUCUUGUAGAGGGGGGUAGAAUUCCAGGUGUAGCGGUGAAAUGCGUAGAGAUCUGGAGGAAUACCGGUGGCGAAGGCGGCUCACUGGACAAUAACUGACGCUGAUGCACGAAAGCUAGGGGAGCAAACAGGAUUAGAUACCCCGGUAGUCCCUGUCUCUUAUAC
rnacentral:rRNA from 1 species